AAUAAUUAUACAAUAGAAUAAUAAUAAAAAUUUGCCCUUCAAUAUUUUUUUUUCAAUUUUUACUUAUAUUGACUUAAAUUCUUAUGUCAUUUUCUUUAUGUUCUAUUGUUUCCCAAAUGGGGAAGGAAGGUUCUGUUACUCUGCUUCCGGAAUUUUGGGAUGUGGCUGAAAGGAGGAGGGUCUUCUUUAUUUCCUCGACAUUUGGCAGGGGCGCAAGUGAAAGAAUGGUUUCUUAUAUUUGUCUUUGUCCUUCCACGGUAGUGGCUGGCAUAGUUAAGAGAUUAAAAAUGUUAAUUGAUAUCCUUUAUACUAUUUUCCUAUGUUGUUUCUCAUAUUAUUCAUUGUGCUUUUAUUAAUGUAUUGUAUUUCUUUGUUUUGACUACACUUUAUUGGUCUGUAUGUGCUUUAAAUUAGAAUAAAGUGUUUAUGUUUCUGGGAAUUAACUGGUAAUCUUAUCUGUUUGUUCUGUCUAUACAGCAGAAGAAAGGGAACAGCGCAUGUAAUUAUAUAAUUAAAUUGUAAUAAUUUUCUUUCUUACAGGGUCGCAUAUAGCUCUAGAAAAUGUCUUUGGUAUUGGAUGCAUGCUUUUCUUUCUUAAUGCAUUUUCUGCUGUUCAAGAUGUCGCAGUGGAUGGUAUAGCUAUUCAGAUGUUGCCAGAGGAACAGCUUGGAUUAGGAAACAGCAUUCAGGUUGUGAUGUAUAAAGUCGGAUGGUUUGUAGGAGGAGCUGGAUUUACAUAUUUAAUGUCUAUCCUGGAUUGGUCAAUGACUCUUGUUGUUCUUGCACUUACGUACCUACUAACUGCAAUAAUGGUUACUAUAGUUUCUGCCAAAGAUGAUGAAAGCUCAGAAGAGGAAACCAAAGAAACGAAAAACAAUGGUAAAGACAAUGAUGAAAGACACAAGGAGCUAAACCAUAAUGACUCCCAAGUGAAUGAGAUACUAGCUAUCUUAAAAGAUGUUGUUAGCACUCCGGGAACUCUCUGGUUAAGUAUUUAUGUAUUACUCUAUAAGAUGGGUGAGAGGGGUGCUAUUAAUAAUAUGCCUUUAUUUCUGCUAGACAGAGGAAUGACUAAAAAACCAGCUGGCAUUAUGGAAUGGUACUUUGUCUCAGGGACUGUCAAUUCUAGGCUCUUUACAUGGCGGCAUUGUGGCAAGUAAACCUCUCAAAAUAAGAGAUAAACUAUUUUCUUUUUCUUUGUAUAGGUUUUUCUCAAUUUUAUUACAGUUUGUUCUAAUACUAAUGUGGAAUUUUAAUUUUUUCAAUGAGAAGGAUAGUUUAUUCACUGUCUAUGCAGUGGGUGUAUUAUCAAUCUGUUCUCUUAGCUACAGCAGUGGAGUAAUAUCAACAGUUUCAUUUACACUCAUGAUGCAGACAAGUCGUCUUUGUGAGAAAAAAACUCAGGCUAGUCAUUAUAGUUUGUUGGCUUCAAUAGAAGUUGCUGGGAAAGUAUUGUUUGCUGUUAUUGCUGGUUUUAUUAUUGAUUAUGCUGGGAUUGCCUCUUCAUUUGCCAUUUUUACUGUGUUGGCCAUAUUUCCCAUAUAUAUUUUACAACACAUUCCAGUAGAUUUAGCACACAUGAAAACUGAAUAGGUGUACAAUUGUUAUCAAACUAAGUUUACAUAAGCAUAGCUUAUCAGAAAGCAGAUAUGUAUCUUUUUUAAUAAAAACUCUUUCCAAAAGAA